GAGUAACAAUGUAUAGGUCACCUUGUCCUUGCAAUCCCAAGUAAAAUUAGAUUAGAUGCGUAAUAGGAGAAGAAAUAAAAGAUUUGCUUAUUGAACAAUCGUGUAAUAAAAUUAUGUAAUUAAAUCCUAUUUUUUGUUCCUUGCAUUUAAAUGGCACUGCAAAAUAAAUAAAUAAAAUAUUAUUACGUGAAUUUGCAGGGUUUUAAUAAUACCGCGCGUCAUCAAAGCUAAGUUUUUGUAUUUUCAUUUUUAAAUCAUUGAACACGCGAUUUUAUGAUAACCAAUGUAUAAAAAGUUGAUUCGUCUCGUAACGUAGAAAAACACACACAGAAGGUAAAAACUGUUCACGAUUGACUUCCAUGGUGAAGGAAUAACAUCGUGUAAUAAAAAUCAAACUCGCAAAAUUAUAAUUUGCGUAAUUACUCGUGGUAGGACCUCUUUUGAGUCCGCACGGGUAGGUACCACCGCCCUGCUUAUUUCUGCCGUGAAGCAGUAAUGCGUUUCGAUUUGAAGGGUGGGGCAGCCGUUGUAACUAUACUGAGACCUUAGAGCUUAUAUCUCAAGGUGGGUGGCGCAUUUACGCUGUAGAUUUCUAUGGGCUUCAGUAACCACUUAACACCAGGUGGGCUGUGAGCUCGUCCACCCAUGUAAGCAAUAAAAAAAUUUUGAAAAAUAAUAAUUACGUUCUAUAAAAAUAAUAUUAAUAGAAUACACAUUUUAACGUUAUAAUAUUUUCAAAUACAAGGAAACAAGUAUAAGCCUCGAAACACUGAUAAAUGGCACUGAAAGCAAACACGCAAUCGAUAUUACGCAAUUCUCCGUCGACGGACCCAGCAGCAGCAUUUCAUUGAAACGGUCAAUAUGAUCUUACCAAACAUUUCAUAAUACGGUGUUUUAAGUAACUACAAACACGGGCAGGCAGGCGGCUUUGAACUUGACCCUUGGGUUUCGCAAGCGCCGCCCCUCUGCUGCAAUUCGUAACGCAGCCAGUUAAUCUUGCAAACAGCGCGCUGACGAGUGCACGUUUCUGUACAUAACACACGAACAUGUUCCCGAAUCCGUUCGACAGAAAACAUUCGACGAUCCGACAGAUGUUGGAUAGGAUUUUCAAAGAAUCGAAAAUGAGCGUCGGCAGAAAGAACGGACUGUCAAGAAAGGGCAGCAACACAUCGUCCUGUUCGAACGCCUCGACAAUCUCCGACAAUAGGAAAGUGUUCGGAUUCGUUCGCAGUUAAAGUCCGUUCUAAGUGUUUAAUUUAACUGUCUCGUUUUGUGCAACAAACCCGUUCACAGUCUGCUAGUCAUCGUUUGUGUUUCGCCAUUUAUUAUUACGGUGUGCGACUUUACGACAUGGACUGAAAAAAUUUAAAAUUAAUUUUAUAAGUAAGAUAGCAAUAAAAUUUAUAAGAAAUAUGAUACAUAAUAUAAAUGUAGUAUACAAAUUAUUUUAUAUUUUUUCUUGACAGAAAAGCUAGUAGUGCCACUGAAUUUUAUUUUAAAUUUUAAAUAUACUCUUAAAAUUAGGGUUACGUCUUUUUAUUCAUUUGUCUAUCCCUCUUAUUAAAGUUAAAAAUUAAGAUUUAAGUUACUUUACGCCUUAAGAAAUGUUCAAGCUCAUACAAAAACUAUUAAUUCAUACACAUGUAUAUCUUAACAUCAAACGCGAGUUAAAACUGAGGCGUAACCCUACCUUUUUUUUAAGAAAGAAGGAUUUCUGGUUGCCUGAAGGCUUUUCCAACUUCAUCAGGGCAGGUUUACGAGCAAAGGCUCAGCCAAGAGGUGUGAGAUUUGCUAACAGCUGUCCGAGCGUCUCCAAAAGAGAUCUAACAACUCAAGAGUAGCUGCUUCGCGAAUGAAUAUACUACCGGAUCGGAAUCGCGACCCGCUGAGAAGAUCCGGCAAGAAACUCAGCGGGCUGAUAUAUGGGUUAGGUUGCACGUCGAACUCUUUGCCAAGUUCAACGAGUACGGUUACCGGGGCACCCUAAUUAAUAAAUCCGCGACGUCUGGAGAAUGCGUAUUAUUGCGUAUGAUCGAUAGCCCAUUGUGUGCUUCAGAGGCUGCAAGCAAGAAUCAAUGUACUUGCAGCAAUACUGCCUUGAACUUAGACCGUGAAUUUUAAAAAUUCGAGUUUCCUCUCAAUGUAGCGAGUACUAGAUUUCUUUGUAGCACUAUUCUAAUAACCAUUCGAAGGAUUCCAUUAAUUUCUAAAACGUCUUAUAAUAAUAUUCCACGAAAGGCAUUAUUGUCGUUUAAAAAAUUAGAUCAAGUAAGUUAAAUAACUGAUCAAGGAAUCUUUAAGCUUUCAAUUAUCGAGUCGCCAUAUGCAAAUUGUUAAGAGAACAAAAUUCAACACAAUGUCAAUGUCAAUGCAGACGAGAAUUAAAUUCUCUGAAAGCUGUCAAGGUUCGUAAUUUAUUCGCUCAAGUAUAAUACGACGGUCGUGAUAUGAUUAUUAAACCAAAAUAUGUGAACUGCUGAAAUUCCAAUGCAUAAUUCAUGCAGCGUUUCCUCAAAUAUGUUUUUGCCCAUAAAUAAAAUGUUUUGUUAAAUGUUACAUUUUAUUUAUGUUUCUUAAAUGAACUACACCACAUUAAUUCAUUGAUAAUUUCUACAGUUUUUUUUUUAAAUACCCACAGAAUAUGUUAUUGUUAUAUUAUAAUAUCACUAUAGAAUACCUUAACAGCCGGACUUUCUUCACAGUUCGGACGGGGCCCUAAGAUUAGAGAGAAGGUGAUAAGUAAUUUGUAUUUUACAACAUGGUACUUGAUUUAUAAGAUUUUUUUGAAUAUAGUACGCAGGGAAUGUUGGAAGAAAAAUAAAAAGCGUCGACUCGUAAAAAUAUUUGCUAAUUUUGAUAAACUCACUGAUGCUAUAUAGCUACUACCAGAUUUCACAGACAACAUAAAACUAUAAGGGCCCGCCUUCUUUUUUCAAUCGCAUUAUUCUUUAUAUUAUCUGUGCACAAUAAAUUAAACGUUUAGAAAUACCUUAUUUCCUAAUCAAUACAGAAUGUUAAUAAUUAAAUGAUAUAUUAUACGUCAAGCGAAUUUAUUAAUAAAAAUAAAUACGAUUAAUAGUUUAACAGUGUUAUUUAAAAAAAUCAAUGAAUUCGCAAAUUCCACAGUAAAGCAAGCUGAUUGUUUUUUUUUUCGGUAUAUUAUUACUGCAAUGUUGUUACCUGCUACAGAUGCUCUAAGAUUAUAUUAUUAGUUUUAAGUCAUACUAAGCUUUAAUGUGGUCUAUGUGUUCUUUCUGCUUGUCAAAGUAGGUAUAAACUAAAAACGAGAAUUUGUAUCUACGUAAGAAUCUUAAUAAUAAUUUAGCGUUAGCCAUAUUGUAUUACGAUAUAAUAAAUAAUAAAUAUGUUAA